rnacentral:rRNA from 1 species
AUUGAACGCUAGCGGGAUGCUUUACACAUGCAAGUCGAACGGCAGCGCGGACUUCGGUCUGGCGGCGAGUGGCGAACGGGUGAGUAAUGUAUCGGAACGUGCCCAGUAGCGGGGGAUAACUACGCGAAAGCGUAGCUAAUACCGCAUACGCCCUACGGGGGAAAGCAAGGGAUCGUAAGACCUUGCACUAUUGGAGCGGCCGAUAUGGGAUUAGCUAGUUGGUUAGGUAACGGCUCACCAAGGCGACGAUCCGUAGCUGGUUUGAGAGGACGACCUGCCACACUGGAACUGAGACACGGCCCAGACUCCUACGGGAGGCAGCAGUGGGGAAUUUUGGACAAUGGGGGCAACCCUGAUCCAGCCAUCCCGCGUGUGCGAUGAAGGCCUUCGGGUUGUAAAGCACUUUUGGCAGGAAAGAAACGUCGCGGGCUAAUACCCCGUGGAACUGACGGUACCUGCAGAAUAAGCACCGGCUAACUACGUG